rnacentral:rRNA from 1 species
UACGUAGGGUGCAAGCGUUGUCCGGAAUUAUUGGGCGUAAAGAGCUUGUAGGCGGUUUGUCGCGUCUGCUGUGAAAUUUCGGGGCUCAAGCCCCGAACUUGCAGUGGGUACGGGCAGACUAGAGUGUGGUAGGGGAGACUGGAAUUCCUGGUGUAGCGGUGAAAUGCGCAGAUAUCAGGAGGAACACCGGUGGCGAAGGCGGUUCUCGUGGGCCGUGUACUGACGCUGGAGGAACGAAAGCGUGGGGAGCGAACAGG